rnacentral:rRNA from 1 species
CCCUUAGAUGUUCUGGGCUGCACGCGCGCUACACUGAUGCGCUCAACGAGUUUAUGAACUUGCCCGGAAGGGUUGGUUAAUCUUUUUAAAACGCAUCGUGAUGGGGAUAGAUUAUUGCAAUUAUUAAUCUUCAACGAGGAAUUCCUAGUAAGCGCGAGUCAUCAGCUCGUGCUGAUUACGUCCCUGCCCUUUGUACACACCGCCCGUCGCACCUACCGAUUGAAUGGUUCGGUGAAGAUCUCGGACUUCGAUAUUUAUUCUUUAUUGAGUUUAUAUUGUGGGAAGUUAUCUAAACCUCAUCAUUUAGAGGAAGGUGAAGUCGUAACA